UACGUAGGGAGCAAGCGUUGUCCGGAAUCAUUGGGCGUAAAGCGCGCGUAGGCGGCCUCAUAAGUCCGUUGUGAAAGUCAAAGGCUCAACCUUUGAAAGCCGAUGGAUACUGUGAGGCUAGAGUCCGGAAGAGGCGAGUGGAAUUCCUGGUGUAGCGGUGGAAUGCGCAGAUAUCAGGAGGAACACCAAUAGCGAAGGCAGCUCACUGGCCCGAUACUGACGCUGAGGCACGAAAGCGUGGGGAGCAAACAGG
rnacentral:rRNA from 1 species